UAACUUUCAACAACGGAUCUCUUGGCUCUCACAUCGAUGAAGAACGCAGCGAAAUGCGAUAAGUAAUGUGAAUUGCAGAAUUCAAUGAAUCAUCGAAUCUUUGAACGCAGAUUGCGCCCUUUGGUAUUCCGAAGGGCAUGCCUGUUUGAGUGUCUU
rnacentral:rRNA from 1 species